rnacentral:rRNA from 1 species
CGGAACGACGCCGCGUGAUGGACGAAGGCCCUCGGGUUGUAAACAUCUGUCGUAGGGGAGGAAAUUUUGACCGAUCCUAGGAGGAAGCACAGGCUAAGUUCGUGCCAGCAGCCGCGGUAAUACGAACUGUGCAAACGUUAUUCGGAAUCACUGGGCUUAAAGGGUGCGUAGGCGGGUUUAUAGGUCAGAUGUGAAAGCCCACGGCUCAACCGUGGAAUUGCGUUUGAAACCAUAAGUCUUGAGGGGAUCAGAGGAGAGCGGAACUGAUGGUGGAGCGGUGAAAUGCGUUGAUAUCAUCAGGAACACCGGUGGCGAAAGCGGCUCUCUGGGAUCUUUCUGACGCUGAGGCACGAAAGCUAGGGGAGCGAACGGGAUUAGAUACCCCGGUAGUCCUAGCUGUAAACGAUCUGUACUAGUCCGUGGAGCCUCCCACAGUUUCUCGGACGUAGCGAAAGUGUUAAGUACAGCGCCUGGGGAGUAUGGUCGCAAGGCUGAAACUCAAAGGAAUUGACGGGGCUUUCACACAAAAAG